AUCCAGUUGAAGAGUCCUAAAUAGGAUGAAACGCGUAUCCUGGAU
rfam:Schistosoma mansoni, Puerto Rico, WGS project CABG01000000 data, contig: 0256